CUCCACCGGAAAAAGAAGAGUGGCGAACGGGUGAGUAACACGUGGGUAACCUGCCCAUCAGAAGGGGAUAACACUUGGAAACAGGUGCUAAUACCGUAUAACAAUCGAAACCNCAUGGUUNUGAUNAAAGGCNCUUUCGGNUGUCGCUGAUGGAUGGACCCGCGGUGCAUUAGCUAGUUGGUGAGGUAACGGCUCACCAAGGCNACGAUGCAUAGCCGACCUGAGAGGGUGAUCGNCCNCAUUGGGACUGAGACACGNCCCAAACUCCUACGGGAGGCAGCAGUAGGGAAUCUUCGGCAAUGGACGAAAGUCUGACCGAGCAACGCCNCGUGAGUGAAGAAGGUNUUCG
rnacentral:rRNA from 1 species